AGAGUUUGAUCAUGGCUCAGAACGUACGCUGGCGGCACGCCUAACACAUGCAAGUCGAACGAAGUAGCAAUACUUAGUGGCAGACGGGUGAGUAACAUGUGGGUAUCUGCCCUUUGGCCUGGAAUAACACGAGGAAACUUGUGCUAAUACCGGAUAAGUCUUUACGGAGAAAGCUUUAUGCACCAUUGGAUGAGCCCGCACUUGAUUAGUUUGUUGGUGGGGUAAUGGCCUACCAAGACUGUGAUCAAUAGCUGAUUUGAGAGGAUGAUCAGCCACAUUGGGACUGAGACACGGCCCAAACUCCUACGGGAGGCAGCAGUGGGGAAUCUUGCACAAUGGAGGAAACUCUGAUGCAGCGAUGCCGCGUGAGUGAAGAAGGCCUUUGGGUUGUAAAGCUCUUUCGUCGGGGAAGAAAAUGACUGUACCCGAAUAAGAAGGUCCGGCUAACUUCGUGCCAGCAGCCGCGGUAAUACGAAGGGACCUAGCGUAGUUCGGAAUUACUGGGCUUAAAGAGUUCGUAGGUGGUUGAAAAAGUUGGUGGUGAAAUCCCAGAGCUUAACUCUGGAACUGCCAUCAAAACUUUUCAGCUAGAGUUUGAUAGAGGAAAGCAGAAUUUCUAGUGUAGAGGUGAAAUUCGUAGAUAUUAGAAAGAAUACCAAUUGCGAAGGCAGCUUUCUGGAUCAUUACUGACACUGAGGAACGAAAGCAUGGGUAGCGAAGAGGAUUAGAUACCCUCGUAGUCCAUGCCGUAAACGAUGUGUGUUAGACGU
rnacentral:rRNA from 1 species